rnacentral:rRNA from 1 species
GGUUAAAAAGCUCGUAGUUGGAUCUCGGCGGGCAGGGGGUGGUUCGCUCUUCAGCGCUACUGCCCCGCUUUGCCCGUGUGAUUGGCGGAGGUUUCGGGGUGCUCUUCGUUGAGUGACUCGGAGCGCCGUCAGGUUUACUUUGAAAAAAUUAGAGUGCUCAAAGCAGGCUUUUCACGCUUGAAUAUUCGUGCAUGGAAUAAUGGAAUAGGAACUCGUUUCUAUUUUGUUGGUUUUCGGAAAUCGAGUUAAUGAUUAACAGGGACAAUUGGGGGCAUUAGUAUUCAGACGACAGAGGUGAAAUUCUUGGACCGUCUGAAGACUGACUACUGCGAAAGCAUUUGCCAAGAGUGUUUUCAUUAAUCAAGAACGAAAGUUAGAGGUUCGAAGGCGAUCAGAUACCGCCCUAGUUCUAACCAUAAACGAUGCCAGCUAGCGAUCUGCCGAGUUUUUUUUGUAGGCUCCGCAGGAAGCUUUCGGGAAACCAAAGCUUUUGGGUUCCGGGGGAAGUAUGGUUGCAAAGCUGAAACUUAAAGGAAUUGACGGAAGGGCACCACCAGGAGUGGAGCCUGCGGCUUAAUUUGACUCAACACGGGAAAUCUCACCAGGCCCGGACACUGGAAGGAUUGACAGAUUGAGAGCUCUUUCUCGAUUCGGUGGGUGGUGGUGCAUGGCCGUUCUUAGUUGGUGGAGUGAUUUGUCUGGUUAAUUCCGAUAACGAACGAGACUCUGUCCUGCUAAAUAGUUGGGUCGUCCUUCGUGCGAUCCAAGUUCUUCUUAGAGGGACUGGCUGCGUCUAGCAGCACGAGAUUGAGCAAUAACAGGUCUGUGAUGCCCUUAGAU